rnacentral:rRNA from 1 species
GACGUAGGGGGCAAGCGUUGUUCGGAUUCACUGGGCGUAAAGGGUGCGUAGGCGGCAGGGUAAGUCUGACGUGAAAUCUCCGGGCUCAACCCGGAAACUGCGUUGGAUACUAUCCUGCUCGAGGAAUGGAGGGGAGACUGGAAUACUUGGUGUAGCAGUGAAAUGCGUAGAUAUCAAGUGGAACACCAGUGGCGAAGGCGAGUCUCUGGACAUUUCCUGACGCUGAGGCACGAAAGCCAGGGGAGCAAACGGG